rnacentral:tRNA from 2 species
UCCCCAAUAGCUCAACGGUAGAGCAGCUGACUGUUAAUCAGCGGGUUCCUGGUUCGAAUCCAGGUUGGGGAG